AUGAUUUACACUUUUUCUAUUGUCCUCCUUCAGGUAGUAAUGCUAACAAAGCUAAUGGAUGGAGCAAAUCAGUCUGUGGUGGCAGAGUUUGUGCUCCUGGGACUUACCAACUCCUGGGAGAUCCAGCUACUUCUCUUUGUGUUCUCAUCCACAUUUUAUGUGGCAAGCAUGAUGGGAAAUUCUCUCAUUAUUCUCACUGUGACUUGUGACCCUCAUUUACACUCUCCCAUGUACUUUCUGUUGGCCAACCUCUCCUUCAUUGACCUGGGAGUUUCUUCUGUCACUUCUCCCAAGAUGAUUUAUGACCUUUUCAGAAAGCAUAAAGUCAUCUCCUUUAGAGGCUGCAUUGCUCAGAUCUUCUUCAUCCACAUCGUUGGUGGUGUGGAGAUGAUGCUGCUCAUAGCCAUGGCCUUUGACAGAUAUGUUGCAAUAUGUAAGCCUCUCCAUUAUCUGACCAUCAUGAACCCUAGAAUGUGCAUCUCCUUUUUAGUGGCUGCCUGGAUAAUAGGCUUUACCCACUCCAUGGUUCAACUGCCUUUUGUGGUAAACUUACCCUUCUGUGGCCCUAAUGUGUUGGACAGCUUUUACUGUGACCUUCCUCGGUUGAUCAAACUUGCCUGCAUAGACACGUACCAACUAGAGUUCAUGGUCAUGGCCAACAGUGGGUUCAUCUCUAUUGGCUCCAUCUUCAUUCUGAUCAUUUCCUACGUUGUCAUCAUUCUCACUGUUCAGAAACACUCUUCAGGUAGUUCAUCUAAGGCUCUGUCCACACUUUCAGCUCACAUCACUGCAGUAGCUCUGUUCUUUGGUCCUUUGAUUUUUAUCUAUACAUGGCCAUUUCCUUCCACACACCUGGAUAAGUUUUUGGCCAUCUUUUAUGCAGUUCUCACUCCUUUCCUGAAUCCAGUCAUUUAUACAUUCAGGAAUCAAGAAAUGAAAGUGGCAAUGAUGAGAGUAUGCAGACAGUUAGUGAGUCAUAGAAAGAUCUCUUUAUUGAUGCCUGUAUUGUAA
rnacentral:lncRNA from 1 species